GAUGAACGCUGGCGGCGUGCUUAACACAUGCAAGUCGAACGAUGAACCCCAGCUUGCUGGGGGGAUUAGUGGCGAACGGGUGAGUAACACGUGAGUAACCUGCCCUUAACUCUGGGAUAAGCCUGGGAAACUGGGUCUAAUACUGGAUAUUGACUUUACCUCGCAUGGGGUUUGGUUGAAAGAUUUAUUGGUUUUGGAUGGACUCGCGGCCUAUCAGCUUGUUGGUGAGGUAAUGGCUCACCAAGGCGACGACGGGUAGCCGGCCUGAGAGGGUGACCGGCCACACUGGGACUGAGACACGGCCCAGACUCCUACGGGAGGCAGCAGUGGGGAAUAUUGCACAAUGGGCGAAAGCCUGAUGCAGCGACGCCGCGUGAGGGAUGACGGCCUUCGGGUUGUAAACCUCUUUCAGUAGGGAACAAGGCCAAUGUUUAGUUGGUUGAGGGUACUUGCAGAAGAAGCACCGGCUAACUACGUGCCAGCAGCCGCGGUAAUACGUAGGGUGCAAGCGUUAUCCGGAAUUAUUGGGCGUAAAGAGCUCGUAGGCGGUUUGUCGCGUCUGCCGUGAAAGUCCGGGGCUCAACCCCGGAUCUGCGGUGGGUACGGGCAGACUAGAGUGAUGUAGGGGAGACUGGAAUUCCUGGUGUAGCGGUGAAAUGCGCAGAUAUCAGGAGGAACACCGAUGGCGAAGGCAGGUCUCUGGGCAUUAACUGACGCUGAGGAGCGAAAGCAUGGGGAGCGAACAGGAUUAGAUACCCUGGUAGUCCAUGCCGUAAACGUUGGGCACUAGGUGUGGGGGACAUUCCACGUUUUCCGCGCCGUAGCUAACGCAUUAAGUGCCCCGCCUGGGGAGUACGGCCGCAAGGCUAAAACUCAAAGGAAUUGACGGGGGCCCGCACAAGCGGCGGAGCAUGCGGAUUAAUUCGAUGCAACGCGAAGAACCUUACCAAGGCUUGACAUGAACUGGAAAUACCUGGAAACAGGUGCCCCGCUUGCGGUCGGUUUACAGGUGGUGCAUGGUUGUCGUCAGCUCGUGUCGUGAGAUGUUGGGUUAAGUCCCGCAACGAGCGCAACCCUCGUUCUAUGUUGCCAGCACGUAAUGGUGGGGACUCAUAGGAGACUGCCGGGGUCAACUCGGAGGAAGGUGAGGACGACGUCAAAUCAUCAUGCCCCUUAUGUCUUGGGCUUCACGCAUGCUACAAUGGCCGGUACAAUGGGUUGCGAUACUGUGAGGUGGAGCUAAUCCCAAAAAGCCGGUCUCAGUUCGGAUUGGGGUCUGCAACUCGACCCCAUGAAGUCGGAGUCGCUAGUAAUCGCAGAUCAGCAACGCUGCGGUGAAUACGUUCCCGGGCCU
rnacentral:rRNA from 1 species